CCUACGGGAGGCAGCAGUGAGGAAUAUUGCACAAUGGGGGCAACCCUGAUGCAGCAAUGCCGCGUGUAUGAAGAAGGCCUGAGGGUUGUAAAGUGCUUUCAAUUGGGAGGAAAAGUUUAAGGCUAAUACCCGUGAACCAUGACGGUACCGUAAGAAGAAGCACCGGCUAACUCCGUGCCAGCAGCCGCGGUAAU
rnacentral:rRNA from 1 species